rnacentral:rRNA from 1 species
UACGAAGGGGGCUAGCGUUGCUCGGAAUGACUGGGCGUAAAGGGCGCGUAGGCGGAUUGUACAGUCAGGCGUGAAAUUCCCGGGCUCAACCUGGGGGCUGCGCUUGAGACGUGCGAUCUUGAGUGGGGAAGAGGAGAGUGGAAUUCCUGGUGUAGCGGUGAAAUGCGCAGAUAUCAGGAGGAACACCGGUGGCGAAGGCGGGUCUCUGGGCCGAUACUGACGCUGAGGAGCGAAAGCGUGGGGAGCGAACAGG